UUAUUUAUUUUAUUAUAUUUAUUUUUUGUUUAUUUAAUUAUUUAAUAAAAAUAAUUUUGUUGAAUUUUGUCUUAGUAUAUUUUGUAGAAUUGAUUUUUUAGAUUAUAGCUUAUUGGUAAUGUAAUUGUUUUAUGAAAUAUUAUUUUAAAUUUUUAAAAGUAGAUUUUAUUUAUUGUACCUUUUGUAUCAGGGUUUAUCAAAAUUUUAGUAUUUAUUUUACUUGUCUCGAUUUGGGUUGAUUUAUAAAUAAUUUAUAGUUAAUGUAUCAUAAUUAUUAUUAAAUUAUUUAUAGAAAUGAGAUGUUAAUCGUUUCCCAAGAUAUCUAGUUUCUUAAGAAAAAAUUUAAUUUUUUGAAGUUAAUUGUUUCUAUUUAAUUUUUUAAUUAUAAAUAUUAACUUAUUUAUUCUUUAAGGGAUAAGCUUUGAAGUUAAUAACCUAUAAUUUGUUUUAAUGAAAUAUAAUAGUAAGCUUUAAACCAGCUAUCUUUAAGAUUACGUUUUAGUUCAUUAUUUUUUAUUUUGAUUUUAUAAUUAUUUUAGGUUUUUUAUUAAGAUUAUUUAUUUAAUUUUAAAAUUUUUGUAAUAAUGAUAGAAUUAGUAUAUUUAUUUGUAUAUAAUUUUUACCUUGUGAAUUUAUUAUAAGGAACUAGGCAAAAUUGAUUUCCGCCUGUUUAUCAAAAACAUGUCCUCUUGAAAAUACUUUGAGGUCUGGCCUGCUCACUGAGCAGAUUUUUAAAGAGCCGCGGUAUUUUGACCGUGCAAAGGUAGCAUAAUCAUUAGUCUCUUAAUUAGUGGCUGGAAUGAAUGGCUUGACGAGAAAUCAACUGUCUCUUAAUAAAUUUUUGAAUUUAACUUUUGAGUCAAAAGGCUUAAAUUUUUCUUUAGGACGAGAAGACCCUAUAGAGCUUAACAUUUUAUUUUUAUAUAGUUUUUUGUUUGUCUUUCUAUAUUUAAUGAUGAUGUUUUGUUGGGGUGACAUGAAGAAUAAAUAAACUCUUCAUUAUUAUAUCAUUUAUUUAUGUUUGUUGUUUUGAUCCAUAAUUUAUGAUCAUAAGAUUAAGUUACCUUAGGGAUAACAGCGUAAUUGUUUUUGAGAGCUCAUAUCGACAAAGCAGAUUGCGACCUCGAUGUUGGAUUAAGAAAAAUUUUGGGUGCAGUAGCCCAGUGAUUAGGUCUGUUCGACCUUUAAAUUCUUACAUGAUCUGAGUUCAGACCGGCGUGAGCCAGGUCGGUUUCUAUCCUAAGAUUAUUAAUUCAUAUUAGUACGAAAGGACCAUAUGGUUGAAAUAUUUUUUGUUUUAUUGAUUAAUAUUAAUUAAAUU